AAACGGCUCAACUCCACCGUACUGUCGGUGCCUUAUGAGCGUAAAUUGGAACAUUUCAAUGUUUUCGGUAAAAAGUCCCAUCAAGGUGAUGGCAUCCAUUCUCACCAAAUUUUGAGGAAUGGUGAACAUGAGCCGUGGAGAAAACCGCGCUCACGUGUAAAUUCUGAGACGGAGUCUCAUUUGCAUGAAAGUCAUACUCAUCAUAAGGUUAGUCGACCACGUGACUUAGAUGGUUCUCAAAUGUCCGACAGGCACCUCGGAACACCAUCAUCAACUUCUAGCAAAUUCCCGCGAGUGAGAAAGGAUCGCGCACCCUCAGAAACGAGCACAACAUCCACUGUAAGUCGACCGUUUUCGUUUUCGAGAUACGAGUUGGAUGAAUCGUUUUGGAUGCCGAAUUUUCGUGAGAUAGAGGAAAUCAAAGAAAGAUAUGCUGAGAAUAGCGAGUUUGUGGCGUCUCUUCAUGGCUUUCUGGAGGAGACCACGAAGAAAGCCAAGAAAAAGGUGGCUGCAAUGAAUUCCCCUUCCCAUUCCCAGCAGCAGCAUCAACCUAAACAUUCAAAACAUUCGAAAUCCUCGUCUAGGGACAGUUCCUUAAGCUCCAAAGAUAUUACAGAGAGAUACAAUGGUCAUAUUGACCAUUUCAGCCAUAAGACUUCGGAAGUUCAUCAGCAUCAGCAUGAACAUUUGCAUCCUCAAAGGGGUCAGGGACGAGUGAUUUUACCCGCCAUACACAGACCGGAAGAGGACACGAUCAGUGUAGCAAGUACUCAUGGUUCUAUGAGUAGCAAUGCGUCGACUAUCAAAAACUCGAAAAAGCACAAUCAUCACAAAAAAUCAAAAUAUCGUAAAGUGGAGUUUAAUCUUUAUCCCAAAAAGCAACGACCUGUUCUUCUUCCGGCACUGAAACCUUCUUCAGUGCCAAAGGAAGACCACCAUUCCAAAACUCCAAGGUCUAUUCUGAAAAAGCACGGGAGUUUGGAAAGCCUAGAUUCGUCUGUGUUUCAAAACGAGGAAGAAAACAGGGAUUCAUCGACAGAGGAGAAACAUACGACAGAGGAGCGCGGGAACUGGGAUAGACAUAUACCGCGGCUUUUAUCGCCCAUUCCUGCCUCCGCCACCAGACGAAACCCUGUGGUGUUCAAAAAUGCAUCGAACUUUCAUUUCAACUGUAGCAAGGAAUUUAAAGCGGUUAUGGGUAAUAUUGAAGACGAGUAGAUUUUUUUGUAUCAUGCAAUGAAAAUAUAUUUUGUUCACUAAUGACCUUUCAGAAAAAUAUUUAUGUUUUAUGAGAUGACGAAUUUGGAAACUAUAUUAAAUAUAUAAAUUAACACU
rnacentral:misc_RNA from 1 species